GAAAUGCGAUAAGUAGUGUGAAUUGCAGAAUUCAGUGAAUCAUCGAAUCUUUGAACGCACAUUGCGCCCCUCGGUAUUCCGUGGGGCAUGCCUGUUCGAGCGUCAUCUACACCCUCAAGCCCCCGGGCCUGGCGUUGGGGAUCGGCGGAAGCCCCCUGCGGGCACAACGCCGUCCCCCAAAUACAGUGGCGGUCCCGCCGCAGCUUCCAUUGCGUAGUAGCUAACACCUCGCAACUGGAGAGCGGCGCGGCCACGCCGUAAAACACCCAACUUCUGAAUGUUGACCUCGAAUCAGGUAGGAAUACCCGCUGAACUUAAGC
rnacentral:misc_RNA from 1 species